rnacentral:lncRNA from 1 species
AUCUAGCCGAGAAGCCCCUAUUGGAGACUUUUCUGCUAAAGACAACCUGUCUAGGAGAUCAGCAGCUGGUGGAACAAUGACCAGCCAACUUUAUGAGACUGUUCAAGGCUACAGGGCCAGUAGAGCAGCAUCCAGCAGAGGCUCAUGGGGAGCAAGACAAAAGGAGCAGCAUAGGAACCUCACUGAACGCUGUACUGGGGGCAUGAGUUGUCUUUCCAGCUACACUGUGCUAGGAGCAUCAUUUUCUCCAGGCUUCCAGGGAACAUCCCCCAAGAACGAGACACUUUCUUGGUGUUACAAUUCUUACAUCAGGCAUCAGGGUCCUGGUGUUUCAAUGAAGUCGUGAGGAAGUAUGGAUUACAAGAGACAAAUCUUCUUUGCUUCAAUGCACUGAAACCUGGGUCAUCAUCAGUCAUCUUGAUGCAUUUGAACGACUCUGGAAGAGGGACUGAAGCCAACUACUACUGUGCAACUCUGCCUCAGUUAAAUACAAUUGCGGUGCAAGUCAUCACCCUUAUGAUGUCAUUGGUUUUCUUUGAAAAUGAAGGACAACAAUAACAAAGGCCCUUUCCCCCUCCCUUUUACCAACCCUUUCCGUUUUAACUACCCAGGGGUAAAUAAAAUUGGUCUAACC